rnacentral:misc_RNA from 1 species
UACUAGACUAUGAUAUUGGACAUAGGAUAUAGACUGGCUCAGUUCACUACAUUCAAUCAUAAAAAUGUAAAAAGAUAUAUCAUAGUCUAGGAGCUAGUCUAGGUUACGUACACACUUCUUACUAGUUCGGUAUUGGAACAGAAGAGGUGAUUAUAGUGCAGAUGAUGUUCAGGAGUGUAGAUGAGGCAAAGAAGGCCUACUCUGAUAGAUAUACAACUCAGAGAUUAUCAGAGAAGCUUCUUAAUAUAGCCAGAUCAGUCGCAGCGCCAAGGAAGGUAAAGGUAAUUCGACUAUCAACUUCUGAAGAGGUUUUUAAAGUCUCGGAAUUUCAAGAGACAAUUUGCUAUCUUUGAUGCAGUUCAAUUCGUGGAAGGUAUUGAAAAACAGAUUUCCAGAAUAAGACAGGAACUGCAACAUGGUUUAAGAAGCUCACAUCUAAAAUAUAGCUUUAAAGCUUAUGAAAUUGGUCCCAACGCUUUACCAAUGAGUACAGUUUCGCAGGAGGACAUGCGGAAAAACUGGAAGGACGUUGCACUUUUGCAGGUUGAAGCCAAACGAACAUACACAACAAACAGAAGAUAUAGAAAAGUUUGUCGUACAAAAGUCAAACAUCAGAAGUAUUGCCUUCUCAUGAAUCAGACUCUUAAAGAACUAAAGCGGGCGAUCACCAUGAUUCAUACACAGCGUCGUGAUUGGUCAAAGAUAUCAUUUGAUCAACAAUUACUUUUUCUAAAUAAAGCAAAGCAAAAGCUGAAGCUUUUAAAAACAAGAACAAAUAUGCUUGCCAAAGUGUUAAAGAAACUGAUGAAAAAAAGUUUUAGAUAAAAACUAACUGCAGGAUGGAAAGUUUUGUUUGGGUGGCAACAUUCGAUGCAAGGAAGUUGAUGAAGCAGCUUGAAAGCGAAAGUGUGUAAAAUACAGGUUGUUGUAUUUGAUUGUAGGGAUAAAGGAUUUUUUUUGUGUUGCAGCAUCUACAGAAUCCCGAGGGAUUUGUUGGUUCCCACGAGCUUGCUAGGGCAAGAGUACCAUUGUUACAUAUGCCAAAGCUAUUCUAGUAUAAAACGUGUAAAAACUAAUAAAUGAACAUCAACAUCAUUUACAUGUGAGCUCACGUUGAUUCUCCUGUUUAAACACCAGCGAAAAGUGACAAGAACAGCAGUUUUUAUGCUAGAAUACCUGUUUGAAGUUACAUAUUCAAAAUCGGAUAUUUUCAGUACUACUUGUCUUCUGAGUAACGAAAUGCGCACUUUCACAGAAUCAACAUUUCAACACAUUAUUUUCGUUUUCUAAGCUUCAUCUGUGCUUUUUCUCAGGUGAAUUUUUGUGAUCACCCAGUGUCUAUCGUCCAUCGGCAUCAACUUCUUACUUAAAUAUCUUCUCCUCUGAAACUGUUGGUCAACCAAACUUGGUCUGUAGCAUCCUGACAAGGUCCUCUCUCAGGUUUGUUCAAAUGGUUCUGCUUGGACUGCUAGAGCUAAUAAAGAAUAAUAUAUAUUAACAACUUCUUCUCAUGAACCAUGUGAUAGGUCCUCACCAAACAUUUCUGUAGCAACCUGGUAUAGUCCUCUCUCAGAUUUGUUCAAAUAGUUCUGCUUGACUGAUAUAAGGGCCGCCAGAACCAAAAAAUAGAAAAACAAAAUUUAAAGCAACUUCUUCUCAUGAACCACUUCAUUGAUCAUCACCAAACUUGGUCUGUAGCAUUCCUGUAAGGCUCUCUAUCAUCACCAAACUUGGUCUGUAGCAUUCCUGUAAGGCUCUCUAUCAUCACCAAACUUGGUCUUUAGCAUUCCUGUAAGGCUCUCUAUCAGAUUUGUUCAAAUGGAUUCGCUUGACUGAGGCCACCAGAGGUAAAAAUAGAAAAUCGUAUUAAUCAACUUCUUCUCAUGAACCAUUUAAAGGAUCAUCAUCAGUUUUGGUCUGUAGUGUCCUAGUAAGGUGUUAAUUGAAAAUGGUAUAUAUAAAAUUGUAAUUAUUGAUUAAUAAAAAAUAAUUAUGUAUUGA